CUGACGCCCAAGGGCAAAAAAUAAAACUAAAUAAUUUUCUUAAAGGAAUUCUCGCCGUCUGCGGCGAAUGCCCACAAACUUGUUUGACUUCAUCUCCUCGCUGACAGGGGAACCAGGACUGAACCUGUCGGAAGGCGAGCCGAACUUGGCCAGUGCCAGGGUGCAGCGGGCGGCUGCCCCGGGCGGGAGGUGGGUUUGGAGACUGGAAGGUGAAAGGGGGUGAAGCGAGAGGAAGCGGCGCCAAAACCCGGGAGAUGGAUACGACAAAGGUCAAAGCUAGUGAACUUUUGCUUUUGCAGCAUGGGCAAAGCAUUGUAAAAUACAGAUGGAAGUUUACUCCUUAUUUUGCAUUCAUUUAACUGAAGCUGAUAUGGCAAGGGAUUUUAUUGUUACUGAGAAAGCAAAUCGCUCAUGGUGUAGAGUAAGAAAGCUGGUUUUUAUGCACGUCCAUUUUCUGUCACUGUUUUCCAAAUUACAGAAGUCCCUGGAAGUUUCAAAGCUUAUAAUGACCCAGAAAAUAUAUUUACUUAAUGAAUCAAGGAAACUGCAAGAAGGAAACAGCAUGCACUACUGACAAUAGCCAAGAAUGGGAUUCAAACAAAAGCCCAUCAAAAGAAAAAUGGAUAAAGACGCUGUGGUACCUAUACACAAGGGCAUAUUAGCCAUCAAAAAAGAAGGAAAUAAUACCAUGUGCAGCAACAUAGAUGAACCUACGGAUGACCAUACUAAGAGAAGUAAGUCAGAGAGAGAAAGACAAAUAUCAUAGGGUAUUACUUAUAGGUGGAAUCUUAAAACUGAUACAAAUGAACUCAUUUACCAACCAGAAACAGACUCACGGAAUUAUAAAACCAAUUUAGGGUUGCCAAAGGGGAAACAUCGGGGAGCAGGGUUAAUCAGCAGUUCCGGAUUCACAUAUACACACUAAUAACACACACCAUCCAAAAGGACGUACUGUAUAGCACAGAGAAGUCUACUCAACAGCCUGUAAUAACCUAUAGGGGCAAGGAAUGCGAAAAAGAGUAGACAUACAUCUAUGUAUACCAGAAUCAAGUUGCUGCACAUCUAAAACCAACACACCAUUGUAAGUCAACUAUGCUCCAAUAUGAAAUGAACAUUAAUUUAAAAAUAAACCAAAUGCCUACAAUAUUCCCCGUAGGCCCCAGUGCAAUGGUAAAUAUGAAUAUACUGAAUGGUGAAUGUAAUGAAAUACUACUCAGCCAUAAAAAAGAAGAAAAUUUUCCCAUUUACAACAACAUGGAUGGUCUUGGUGGAUAUUAUGCUAAGUGAAAUAUGUCAGAUAGGGGCUUCCUUGGUGGCACAGUGGUUAAGAAUCGCCUGCCAGUGCAGGGGACAUGGGUUCCAUCCCUGGUCAGGGAACAAAGAUCCCACAUCCUGCAGGGCAACUAAGCCUUUGCGCCACAACUACUGAGCC